CGCCCCCUCCGUCUGAGCCCGCGCGGGCCUUCUCUGCUCCGCCCGCCUCACUCCUUUCUGGGCGGUUGGGCAGCGCGCCUGUCCCGGCGGGGCGCGCAGCGAGCGACCCAGCCUCUGGGACGCGGUGGCGGCGGUUGCGGCGGCGGCGACGGCGGCGACGGCUGGGUCUGCCCAGACUGCGGCGGAGGCGGUGGCUGAGGUGGAGGCGGAAGGAGGCGGCGGCUGCAGAGGGGGGAAGAUGGCGGCGUCUGUCCCGCUGAGAGUGUCGGUGCCGCCGUGGGAGCUGGUGGCCUGGUACGCCGUGUGCCCUUCCCGGAUACUGCUCUAUUUCUACACCGACUACGUGGAGCGGGAGAAGGAGUGGGACCCCGAGCACCGGACCCUCUGCAACCUGGGGUCCUGGGUAAAGUGCUCCGCCGCCCUUGCCUCCAGAAUCCUUGCCCAGAGUCCAGCGCCUCGUUCCUGUCCAGGAUCACCUUCUGGUGGAUCACAGGGUUGAUCAUCCGGGGCUACCACCAGCCCCUUGGAGAGCAGUGGCCUCUGGUCCUUAAACAAGGAGGACACAUUGGAACAAGUCAUGCCUAUAUUGGUAAAGAACCAGAAGAAGAAAUGCGCCAAGUCUAGGAAUAGGUGACAAGUAUUUGUUCAGCACCUGCUGUGCAUUGUCUUAUGUACUGAGGAUACAGCAGUCCACCUGGAGCUCACAUUCUAGUGGGGAAAGAAAAUAAAAAGAAAGAACCACUGGAAAGAUGACUGCUUUAAGAGCUUAUCCACUCUGAACCACAUCACAGAACAAGAUUGUCUCAACAAUAACAACAAGAAAGAAACAAACCUAAUUGUUCCCAUGUAAAAAUAAGUCUAGGUCCACACUAGAUGUGAAGAGUUCACAAUGCCACAAGACAGAACAGAAAUAUAUUUAAAAAUUAUAUUACUGCUUUCCAUAGAAAUAAAACGAAUUUAAUUAAGCUUUUGUAAGACAAGUCAAGAAAAAGAGCAAAAAAUGCAAAAGUAAAACUUGAAAGGCCAUUUUGUAAUCAAGGGCUUACUCACAAAAUAUACAUAUUGUUCAAAACGUUGGUUCUGAAUUUUGACAUAAGUAAGUUACAGUUUCAUUUGAGGAUGUCUAAGAGGUCAAAUAAGACAAUGUCAUUUGCUAUUUUCAGUCCUUUUUUUUUUUUGAGAGGACAGUAAACUUUAGAGAAAUGAAUUGU